rnacentral:rRNA from 1 species
GACGAACCGUGCGAACGUUGUUCGGAUUCACUGGGCUUAAAGGGCGCGUAGGCGGGCAGGCGAGUCCGGGGUGAAAUCUCCCGGCCCAACCGGGAAAGGGCCCCGGAGACCGCCUGCCUCGAGGGGGGUAGGGGCGUGUGGAACUUCCGGUGGAGCGGUGAAAUGCGUAGAUAUCGGAAGGAACGCCGGUGGCGAAAGCGACGCGCUGGGCCCCUCCUGACGCUGAGGCGCGAAAGCCAGGGGAGCAAACGGG